rnacentral:rRNA from 1 species
AUGCCUAGGAAAUUGCCCUGAUGUGGGGGAUAACCAUUGGAAACGAUGGCUAAUACCGCAUAAUGCCUACGGGCCAAAGAGGGGGACCUUCGGGCCUCUCGCGUCAGGAUAUGCCUAGGUGGGAUUAGCUAGUUGGUGAGGUAAUGGCUCACCAAGGCGACGAUCCCUAGCUGGUCUGAGAGGAUGAUCAGCCACACUGGAACUGAGACACGGUCCAGACUCCUACGGGAGGCAGCAGUGGGGAAUAUUGCACAAUGGGCGCAAGCCUGAUGCAGCCAUGCCGCGUGUGUGAAGAAGGCCUUCGGGUUGUAAAGCACUUUCAGUCGUGAGGAAGGUAGUGUAGUUAAUAGCUGCAUUAUUUGACGUUAGCGACAGAAGAAGCACCGGCUAACUCCGUGCCAGCAGCCGCGGUAAUACGGAGGGUGCGAGCGUUAAUCGGAAUUACUGGGCGUAAAGCGCAUGCAGGUGGUUUGUUAAGUCAGAUGUGAAAGCCCGGGGCUCAACCUCGGAAUAGCAUUUGAAACUGGCAGACUAGAGUACUGUAGAGGGGGGUAGAAUUUCAGGUGUAGCGGUGAAAUGCGUAGAGAUCUGAAGGAAUACCGGUGGCGAAGGCGGCCCCCUGGACAGAUACUGACACUCAGAUGCGAAAGCGUGGGGAGCAAACAGGAUUAGAUACCCUGGUAGUCCACGCCGUAAACGAUGUCUACUUGGGAGGUUGUGGCCUUGAGCCGUGGCUUUCGGAGCUAACGCGUUAAGUAGACCGCCUGGGGGAGUACGGUCGCAAGAUUAAAACUCAAAUGAAUUGACGGGGGCCCGCACAAGCGGUGGAGCAUGGGGGUUUAAUUCGAUGCAACGCGAAGAACCUUACCUACUCUUGACAUCC